rnacentral:tRNA from 1 species
UCCCUCUUAGCGUAAUGGUCAUCGCGUUUGGCUACGAACCAAAAAGGUUGCAGGUUCGAGUCCUGCAGGGGGGA